UACGUAGGGGGCAAGCGUUGUUCGGAUUCAUUGGGCGUAAAGGGUGCGUAGGUGGCGCCGUAAGUCAGGUGUGAAAUUUCGGAGCUUAACUCCGAAACUGCAUUGAUACUGCGGUGCUUGAGGACUGGAGAGGAGACUGGAAUUCACGGUGUAGCAGUGAAAUGCGUAGAUAUCGUGAGGAAGACCAGUGGCGAAGGCGGGUCUCUGGACAGUUCCUGACACUGAGGCACGAAGGCCAGGG
rnacentral:rRNA from 1 species